rnacentral:rRNA from 1 species
GACGAACGCUGGCGGCGUGCCUAAUACAUGCAAGUCGAGCGGAAGUUGGAGAGCUUGCUCUUCAACUUUAGCGGCGGACGGGUGAGUAACACGUGGGCAACCUGCCCUGCAGAUCGGGAUAACUCCGGGAAACCGGUGCUAAUACCGAAUAGUUUUCGCCACCUCCUGGCGGCGUACGGAAAGACGGUUUCGGCUGUCACUGCAGGGUGGGCCCGGGGCGCAUUAGCUAGUUGGUGGGGUAACGGCCCACCAAGGCGACGAUGCGUAGCCGACCUGAGAGGGUGAUCGGCCACACUGGGACUGAGACACGGCCCAGACUCCUACGGGAGGCAGCAGUAGGGAAUCUUCCGCAAUGGACGAAAGUCUGACGGAGCAACGCCGCGUGAGUGACGAAGGUUUUCGGAUCGUAGAACUCUGUUGUGAGGGAAGAACAAGUACCACUUAACUACUGGUACCUUGACGGUAGCUCACCAGAAAGCCACGGCUAACUACGUGCCAGCAGCCGCGGUAA